rnacentral:snoRNA from 1 species
GGGUCAAUGAUGAAAAUUUUAUAUUGUCUGGAGAGCAGUGAUGACUUAAAAAUCAUGCUCAAUAGGAUUAUGAUGAGGCCU